rnacentral:rRNA from 1 species
CACGUAGGCGGGCUCUUAAGUCGGUGGUGAAAUCCUGGAGCUCAACUCCAGAACUGCCUUCGAUACUGAGAGUCUCGAGUCCGAGAGAGGUGAGUGGAACUGCGAGUGUAGAGGUGAAAUUCGUAGAUAUUCGCAAGAACACCAGUGGCGAAGGCGGCUCACUGGCUCGGUACUGACGCUGAGGUGCGAAAGCGGUGGGGAGACAAACGA